GCGGGAUAGCCAAGUGGCCUAAGGCAUCGGUUUGCAAAACCGACAUUCGUGGGUUCAAAUCCCACUCCCGC
rnacentral:tRNA from 1 species